GACGAACGCUGGCGGCGUGUUUAACACAUGCAAGUGGAGCGACGAACCAGGCUUCGGCCUGGGGCAGAGCCGCGAACGGGUGAGUAACACGUGGGUAACCUGCCCUGAUGAUCGGGACAACCCGGGGAAACCCGGGCUAAUACCGAAUGUGCCCGCAAGCCACAAGGCUUGCGAGGAAAGGAAGCUUCGGCCUCCGCAUCGGGAUGGGCCCGCGGCCCAUUAGCUUGUUGGUGGGGUAACGGCCUACCAAGGCAGCAAUGGGUAGCUGGUCUGAGAGGACGAUCAGCCACACUGGGACUGAGACACGGCCCAGACUCCUACGGGAGGCAGCAGUGGGGAAUCUUGCGCAAUGCGCGAAAGCGUGACGCAGCAACGCCGCGUGGGGAAGACGGCCUGGUGUAACCC
rnacentral:rRNA from 1 species